GGCAAAAGUGGAAUUUUCGAAUUGGUUUCACUCCCCGAGAGGGUUUGGUUAUAUACUCUGUAGCUUAUGUUGAUGGAAGCAGAGGGCGAAGGCCUGUAGCACAUCGACUAAGUUUUGUGGAAAUGGUUGUCCCUUAUGGAGAUCCAAAUGAUCCACAUUACAGGAAGAAUGCUUUUGAUGCAGGAGAGGAUGGACUGGGCAAAAAUGCGCAUUCUCUGAAGAAGGGAUGUGAUUGUCUGGGUUACAUCAAAUAUUUUGAUGCUCAUUUCACAAAUUUCACUGGUGGUGUUGAAACAAUUGAAAACUGUGUGUGCAUGCAUGAAGAGGACCAUGGAAUUCUGUGGAAGCAUCAAGACUGGAGGACAGGAUUGGCAGAAGUUAG
rnacentral:misc_RNA from 1 species